UUCGCCCUUAGAGUUUGAUCCUGGCUCAGGACGAACGCUGGCGGCGCGCCUAACACAUGCAAGUCGAACGGAGCUUAGAGAGCUUGCUUUUUAAGCUUAGUGGCGAACGGGUGAGUAACGCGUGAGUAACCUGCCCUAGAGUGGGGGACAACAGUUGGAAACGACUGCUAAUACCGCAUAAGCCCACGGUGCCGCAUGACACUGAGGGAAAAGGAUUUAUUCGCUUUAGGAUGGACUCGCGUCCAAUUAGCUAGUUGGUGAGGUAACGGCCCACCAAGGCGACGAUUGGUAGCCGGACUGAGAGGUUGAACGGCCACAUUGGGACUGAGACACGGCCCAGACUCCUACGGGAGGCAGCAGUGGGGGAUAUUGCACAAUGGGGGAAACCCUGAUGCAGCGACGCCGCGUGGAGGAAGAAGUAUCUCGGUAUGUAAACUUCUAUCAGCAGGGAAGAUAAUGACGGUACCUGACUAAGAAGCCCCGGCUAACUACGUGCCAGCAGCCGCGGUAAUACGUAGGUGGCAAGCGUUGUCCGGAAUUACUGGGUGUAAAGGGAGCGUAGGCGGGAUGCCAAGUCAGCUGUGAAAACUAUGGGCUUAACCCGUAGACUGCAGUUGAAACUGGUAUUCUUGAGUGAAGUAGAGGUUGGCGGAAUUCCCGGUGUAGCGGUGGAAUGCGUAGAUAUCGGGAGGAACACCAGUGGCGAAGGCGGCCUACUGGGCACCAACUGACGCUGAGGCUCGAAAGUGUGGGUAGCAAACAGGAUUAGAUACCCUGGUAGUCCACACCGUAAACGAUGAUUAAUAGGUGUUGGAGGAUUGACCCCCUUCAGGCCCGCAGUAAACCACAAUAAGUAAUCCCACCUGGGGAGUUCCGGCCGCAUGGGUGGAAACUCAGAGGAAUUGACGGGGGCCCGCACAAGCAGUGGAGUAUGUGGUUUAAUUCGAAGCAACGCGAAGAACCUUACCAGGUCUUGACGUCCGAUGCAUAGCACAGAGAGGUGUGAAAUCCUUCGGGACAUCGAGACACGUGGUGCAUGGUUGUCGUCAGCUCGUGUCGUGAGAUGUUGGGUUAAGUCCCGCAACGAGCGCAACCCUUAUCUUUAGUAGCCAGCGGUCAGGCCGGGCACUCUAGAGAGACUGCCAGGGAUAACCUGGAGGAAGGCGGGGAUGACGUCAAUUCAUCAUGCCCCUUAUGACUUGGGCUACACACGUGCUACAAUGGCGUAAACAAAGGGAAGCAAAGCUGUGAAGCCGAGCAAAUCUCAAAAAUAACGUCUCAGUUCGGACAAUAGUCUGCAACCCGACUACACGAAGCUGGAAUCGCUAGUAAUCGCAGAUCAGAAUGCUGCGGUGAAUACGUAAGCGGGUCUUGCACACCCCGCCCGUCA
rnacentral:rRNA from 1 species